AUUGAACGCUGGCGGCAUGCUUUACACAUGCAAGUCGGACGAGUGGCGAACGGGUGAGUAACGCCUGGGAACGUACCGAGUAAUGGGGGAUAACUAUCCGAAAGGACAGCUAAUACCGCAUAUUAUUCUAGCGGCCGAUGUCGUAUUAGCUGUUGGGCGGGGUAAAGGCCCACCAAGGCGACGAUCCUUAGCGGGUCUGAGAGGAUGAUCCGCCACACUGGGACUGAGACACGGCCCAGAUUCCUACGGGAGGCAGCAGUGGGGAAUAUUGCACAAUGGGCGCAAGCCUGAUGCAGCCAUGCCGCGUGUCUGAAGAAGGCCUUCGGGUUGUAAAGGACUUUCAGCAGGGAGGCGGUACCUGAAGAAGAAGCACCGGCUAACUACGUGCCAGCCGCCGCGGUAAUAC
rnacentral:rRNA from 1 species